rnacentral:rRNA from 1 species
AAAUAGAACUUUGCAGAGAGAGUUAAGAGGGCGUGAACCGUUAAUUGGCAAACGAAUCGGAGCCACGAAGUCGUUUCGAUGCUAGUUGGGCCAGGUUCAGUUUGGAACGCAAGUUCCGGGCGUAUUCUUGGUGCAACCAUUGUAAGCGUACACUGCAACCAGUUAGACAAUUGAAGAUGGAAUUAGUUUGUUUAGCUUUCGGGUUAGAUAAGCGCAAAAUUUGUUUACUAGGGUUAGUAGUAGCGGGCAACAGUUUACUGUUGUUUGUUGCUGGGCGCCUAGUAAGUGAACUAUCUUCAAAUACUGACUGGCACAUUGAAAAUCGCCACUGGCGUUUUACACAAUGCUGUCAACUAUAUAGUUGCCUACAUGCUCGACCAUGGGGUUUUAAGCUCGACAUCUUCGAAUUUGGACUGGCCAUCUACUAAAGGGCAACUUUUGGUGUUGGUUUAGCUUCCAUCUAAUCAGGUGUUGACUUGAUCGUAUGUUGUUCAAGUAUGAAACGAUUGGGUAGCUAUAUAAGAUGAUAAGCCAUUGAUUGGCAGUGAGUAGGUCGGCUUUCCGAACGACCCGUCUUGAAACACGGACCAAGGAGUCUAAUUAGGCAUCGAGUCGAUCGGUCUUGAUAGGCCAGACUAGGGAUUUCGUAUCUCUGAUUGAAGGCGUAGAGAAAUCAAAUCAUGUGAUCAUGGGCGACAACAACAGUCCCUAUGCGCAACAUGUGCCUGUUCGUAUAACAAUGUUGCAAAACUUGUUGGGCGGAGCAAAGAGAUACCUGAUUGGUACCCGAAAGAUGGUGAACUAUGCCUGGGCAAGUUGAAGCCAGAGGAAACUCUGGUGGAGGACUGUAGCGAUUCUGACGUGCAAAUCGAUCGUCAGACCUGGGUAUAGGGGCGAAAGACUAAUCGAACCAUC